UGGCAGAAAAACAGCAACUAUGACCACCAAACCAACCAAAAUGAUGUGAAACGCAAUUUCUUAAUUUCAGUCUCAAACUGUGCCUGGGCCAAUAUAUGUGAAAGUCUGAUGUCCAUGUGGAUUCAAAUCCUGAUUCACUCAGUCUUGGAGGUGCCUGAAGACGUCUACAAGUGGAAGAAAAGAAACCACUGGAGCGGAAGGUGGGGAGGAUAAAAUUUGGAGCAAGAUUCUCAAGGAAGCAACAAAAUCCUAAGGCCACUGCUUUGCUGAGUCAUUCUACUAUGCGGCCCCUCAGACACAAAGCCCGGCGGCCACCUGCCCACAGAGGCACAGAGGGCCAGCCAACUGCAAGCUCGGAACUUCAGGAUCUUGCUUUUCAGAUGAAGAAAGUGGUCAGCAUCUUCUCCAGAUCAGAAAAAUUGCAUUUGUUUUCCCUUUUUAUUGUGAAGUUUCAAACAUAUACAAGUUAGCAGAAAUUAUUAAAUGAUUGCCUCUUGGCCUUUUGGCUAAGAUCAAGGGUAAAAAAUUAUUAAAUGAGCAAUUAAAAACACUUUUGAAACAAAAUAAAAAAUAAAAAAAUCUAAGUAAAGGAAUAUAA
rnacentral:lncRNA from 1 species